CCACGUAUAGUUCAAUAGGUUCUGCCCACGAGGAGGCGGCCCAUGUGCUUAUGGGCUCAUGAAAUUCGAUACCACGCCAUUAUAAUGGGAGCUUGUGUUUUUGAAUAACCCUGGUCCCUGGCGCUUCUUGCCCUAAACCCCUACUAUCUUCAAUUUCUUCAGCACAAUGAAGCUCUUCAUGUUCAUGCGACAUCUUCAAAAAAGAAAAAUCUCUUUGAGUUUUUUCCCAUUGAGUUUAGCCAUGGAUUUAACUUUAACUUUCUGUGCAGAUUUUUGAUGAAGGUAAACAACGAGACUGUUUCAAUCCAGCUCAAAAACGGAACCGUUGUUCAUGGAACCAUUACAGGUAUCGGUGCUCCUCCUCGUUCUUCUUCACAUGACUAGUUGAUAUUUUGUUUGAAGACUACUUUUGGGGUUGAGGUUGAAGAUCAUAUUUGUCCAUGUGGCUAGUUAAGCUUUUCUAUCCGGCAGUAUUUGUGGUGAGUCCUUAUUUAUCGGGGACUAGUCAUCGAGUUGGUUAUUGUUUCAAAGACUUUUGUUAUGUUUCAUAUUGAGGAUGAGUUAUGGAUAUGUCUUAGUACUCGCCCAUACUCAUAUGUAGAGCCAUCUAGUUGGACAAAUGUUUUGAGUCUAUGUUGUCAUGUGACAUUCCUCAAUUUUUAUUUA